ACAUGUCUACAACAUAGCACUAAUGCAUCAGAUCUCAUUAGAACUCUGCAAUUAAGCGCAUUCAUGCUAGUGUAACACUGGGAUGGGUGACCGCUCGAGAAGUCCUAGUGUUUUACAUACC
rnacentral:rRNA from 1 species